UUCAACGGUUGAAAUUACCUGUUACAUCCGACACGGUCGUGUUUCUAUUUAGGAAAGCUGUACAUCGAUGAGAAUUGGUCUUCGCUGUGUGAACGGGGUUAGGCCAGCCUGUGUUUUUCCCCAAAACAUAUUGAGGAUCGACCCAGUCCAUACCGUCUCCUGACCUUCCUCCUAUGGAUCGAGAAGUGCUGGAUGAUGAGAUUAAUGACACAUGAAAUGGACUCUGUUAGAGCACAGCUGCAUGUGUGAAUGUCAGCAUCUGACAGGCAUUUAUAGUCCACACAGCCCACCGGAGUGCUUCAGUUCGAUGACAUUCCCCAUGGCUCCACGUAGUCUUUGUCCCGAUCAGAGAUUACUUACCUGCUCUAAUAAACAUGCCAAGUGGGCUCGAGCGGAGCAGGGAGGAAGGGGGCUCGAACUGUUUAUUGUAAAUCAAAAGCAUGGAGGGUAUAGAGGAGAGAGGAUGUAGAUGCAGCACAGCACCAACCCUCCUUUCUUUGAGCCCUACUGGCCUUUUAUUAUCGGAGACUCCUGAUCUCUUUUUGCAAAACAGGAGCAUGUUACAGGAAAUGAAACAAGACAGCUUUUAUUUAGGGUUCCAUCGCUCUUUUUAGUGUUAAAGUGCUUCACAAUGUGGCUAUGUACAGUCUGUCUGCUCACUCUGACUGCUACUGAGAUACAAUCCAACCCUACUUAUUGAUUUUUAACAUCUUACUGUUGAAUUUGUGUGCCAGUUGAUUAACUGUGUACGAGAGAAUAAGCAUUUUUCAGUCUAGAUGUCUUGGAUUUGGCAACCUUAUUCAGUACUGUGUUUACACAGCCUCUUUCAAUUCAUGCACAUUGUUAUGGAUUACUUGUCCAUUAGAGUAAUAUGGUACAGUUAUAAAUGACUUCAUCAAUGAGCAUCCUUAAAGGCUCUCAAGCUGAAAGAAAAACCAGCUUCUUCUUCAGAAAAUAAACAAGCAAGAAAAUGCCGCCUAGCAUGAAAUCCAUCCUAAUUUUUCAGAAGACUGUGCUAAUAGAUUUUUGUUUGUAAAUAGCUGUUGUUGUCACUAUGUCUUUGAGUUCUGGUGUCUUAGUCUUUUCAUUUACUUAUGCUUUACCCUAAAAACCUUGGAUAUCUAUUAAAGCAAUCUAUAUUUGUGUGAAAUAAUUUGUUGAUGUUCAGUGCAGGCAGGGAAGUAAAGUGGUGCAAUUAAGCAAGACUCACAACAGUUAAAGAGCAGGUGUUAAAAUUCAUCUAUUUUUCAGGUUCCAGACAUAGUGGUGUGGAUGCAAGAUUUACUUUUUGCCAAGUAGGGAAGAAGAAUAGCAUGGUCAAGAUCCAGUUUGCAGAGCCUGCAGCCAAAGGAAGCCAAGCUUCAUUAGAGAGAUGAGGUGUCAACACCUGAGAUCAGCCAGCUGAUGACAGCCCCUCCCUUCAUGCCAAACCAUAUCGUCACCCCGACAGUGUGCUGCGUUUCACACCAACAAUGGCCUGAAGCACUGUCACUGAUGUUAAGCUUCAGACGUGGGUUCCAGGUAACAGAGACGGUUUCCGAGUCCCUCAGCGGCCAAGCAAAACUUGCGAUGCUC